rnacentral:lncRNA from 1 species
AAACUUACGAGGAAUUACAGAGGCCCGCGUUUUUAUUUACGACGAAUUAGCGACGAAAUACAAAGGCCCGCGUUUUCAUUAACGACGUUUUUACGACGAAAAGGGUUACGUGGAAUUAACGAGUUAAACAGUUACGAGGAAUUGGCGAGCCUUUAUUUUCUAUAAAUACCCACAACUUUCCUUCUCAAACCACACACAAAC